UACGGAGGGUGCAAGCGUUAAUCGGAAUUACUGGGCGUAAAGCGUGCGUAGGCGGUUCGUUAAGUCUGUUGUGAAAGCCCCGGGCUCAACCUGGGAAUGGCAAUGGAUACUGGCGAGCUAGAGUGUGUCAGAGGAUGGUGGAAUUCCCGGUGUAGCGGUGAAAUGCGUAGAGAUCGGGAGGAACAUCAGUGGCGGAAGGCGGCCAUCGUGGGACAACACUGACGCUGAGGCACGAAAGCGUGGGAGCAAACAGG
rnacentral:rRNA from 1 species